UACGGAAGGCAGCAGUGGGGAAUAUUGCACAAUGGGCGAAAGCCUGAUGCAGCUAUGCCGCGUGUAUGAAGAAGGCCUUAGGGUUGUAAAGUACUUUCAUCGGGGAGGAAAAAACAAAACUAAUAAUUUUAUUUCUUGACGUUACCCGAAAAAGAAGCACCGGCUAACUCCGUGCCAGCAGCCGCGGUAAUACGGAGGGUGCGAGCGUUAAUCGGAAUUACUGGGCGUAAAGGGCACGCAGGCGGUUAAUUAAGUUGGAUGUGAAAUCCCCGGGCUUAACCUGGGAAUGGCAUUCAAGACUGGUUAGCUAGAGUCUUGUAGAGGGGGUAGAAUUCCAUGUGUAGCGGUGAAAUGCGUAGAGAUGUGGAGGAAUACCGGUGGCGAAGGCGGCCCCUGGACAAAGACUGACGCUCAUGUGCGAAAGCGUGGGGAGCAAACAGGGAUUAGAUACC
rnacentral:rRNA from 1 species